UACGUAGGCAGCGAGCGUUGUUCGGAGUUACUGGGCGUAAAGGGUGUGUAGGCGGUUCUCUAAGUUUGGUGUGAAAUCUCCCGGCUCAACCGGGAGGGUGCGCCGAAAACUGGAGGGCUAGAGUGCGGGAAGGGAGAGUAGAAUUCCUGGGUGUAGCGGUGAAAUGCGUAGAUAUCAGGAGGAAUACCGGUGGUGUAGACGGCUCUCUGGACCGCGACUGACGCUGAGACACGAAAGCGUGGGUAGCAAACAGG
rnacentral:rRNA from 1 species